UUAGAUAGCCCAAUAUAACGGAAUAAAAUCCACCAAAAGUUUUUAAUGUGCUUUAUAUCGACUGUAAAAUAGACAUCAGUAACUGUGCACUACAUUAUUGCAAUGGAAUUGACGUUAUUUCCAAUAUUUCAAAUCUAAAUAAGUAUUUUUUGUCAGACUGUUCACUGUCCAGUUAUAUUGGGAAGCAGAUCUGCAGUCUAACCAUUGGUGUGAUCAUAAUUUCUUGCUAUGUGUCCCAGGUUGAGUUAGAAACUUAAAAAUUUUCAAAAAGUGUGCCAUCCAAAUAAUGCUGAAGCCCCCAUCUAUUUCCAAAUAUGCAAUUAUUCCUUGAGAUUUCAAUCACACUUAACCCUGAUGGUUAGGUAAACACAUUCCUACAUUAGAGAUUCAAGACUUCAAUUUGUUAGUCCAGUGCUUGGGAAGUCAUGCUAGAAACUUUGCACGUUUGUUUAGGUUCAGUAUAUCUUGAAAUGAUGAGAACCACAGCAUAGUUGGCCAUGAGACUAUUUGUGAAAGAGAUGAAACGUUGUUUGCUUGUUUGUUAUUUAUACUUUGGGCAAGAUUCUUCCGCAUGUCAGAGCUUUGCUUGGCAAGAAAGAGAUACUGUGGUGUUGGCUAGGGAUCUCCAAGGUUCAAGGCCAACACUAGCUGCAUUGGAACUUUGGGAUGUUGCACACACCCCUGAUAUAUAUUAUGCUAAAGCCACAGAAGGCAAUGUCAAAGAAAUUGGCUUCGUCGCUUUACUUCUACUGCCUUCUUGUAUGCCUGGCUGGAGGACGAAAGUAGCAAUCUGCUUGUGCCAGCAAAGAGCCUCCUACACUAAAGGAAUAUUUUUGUCAUGUACUUUUGUCUAGACUGCAGCCCCUUUACAGUGUUAAAGCAACAUAUCUGUGAUAAAAUCAUUAAUGUAUCAUUGAGAUGGUCCCAUGAUCAUCUUCCAGUAUUAAGUUAUCACCCACUGCUGUUGAGACUCUUAAACUUGUCUUGGCUGGGAGACAGAACCAGGUACUUGUGGUCCCAAAUGCUUUCUCUUUGGCUUAUUCUGAAAUACCUUAAACAGACCAACAAUUACACUGUUGCAUUUACACUCUCAUAAAAGUAAGCCUUUGUGGUGCGCUAAGAUUGCACUACCUUAAAUUAUGUUAUUUUAAAUCACCCAACAUUGUUGACAUUCUUGGUCCUUUUGUGCCUACAUCCUGUGGUCCUCUUCCUACUGACAGUCACAGACUUCACUUCAGAAUGUUCUUUCUAAACCUCCUGCAAGAUGACAUUAGCAGACCCCAUUCUUCUCGUGACAGUAUCACAAGACUUCAAAACUGCUUUUAUGUUGUGAUAUGAGAACCAAAUCAACAUUCAUAUGCUGUCAGUCAGAAUUUGGACUUCAAAUUUACCAUUGAGCUCUCAGCAAAAAUGUAGAUUUUCUCCUCAGAUAUGUGAUUGAACAAUGAAUAUAUAUAUAUAUAUUUUUUUCCUGGAGCCAAGGUGUAAUCAUUAGGACUAGUUUAAAUAGCUAGAAACACCGAAAACUUCUUUUAUUGUAGGUAACUGUUGAGUCUGGUUAGAGCAAGAAUGGUGAUGAGGAUCUUGCCCUUGGAAUAAUGGAUGAACAAUGGGAUUUGGGUGUAAAGCAGGAGGUGUGGCUGCAUUUAGUUGUGGUGCAAAUAAGGCUGGGAUAUAUGCAGUAUGUGGCAGCAGGGGGA
rnacentral:lncRNA from 1 species